rnacentral:rRNA from 1 species
AACGAACGCUGGCGGCGGGCUUAACACAUGCAAGUCGAGCGCCCCGCAAGGGGAGCGGCAGACGGGUGAGUAACGCGUGGGAAUCUACCGUACCCUACGGAAUAGCUCCGGGAAACUGGAAUUAAUACCGUAUACGCCCUACGGGGGAAAGAUUUAUCGGGGUAUGAUGAGCCCGCGUUGGAUUAGCUAGUUGGUGGGGUAAAGGCCUACCAAGGCGACGAUCCAUAGCUGGUCUGAGAGGAUGAUCAGCCACAUUGGGACUGAGACACGGCCCAAACUCCUACGGGAGGCAGCAGUGGGGAAUAUUGGACAAUGGGCGCAAGCCUGAUCCAGCCAUGCCGCGUGAGUGAUGAAGGUCUUAGGAUUGUAAAGCUCUUUCACCGAUGAAGAUAAUGACGGUAGUCGGAGAAGAAGCCCCGGCUAACUUCGUGCCAGCCGCCGCGGUAAAAC